GUUUAUUCCAGAAAAAUACAAGGCUGGCUUCCUAUCUGCUACUCACUAUCUUCCACCUCCUCAUCAUGUGGACAAACCCUAGCAGUGCCUCAUAAUCAAGCGUGUUUGUGCAUGCACAAAGCCACCUUAGUGUUCAAAGGCAUGAACACACUUCAUGAACACCACCAAUACUACAGAAGACUGAAUUGGUUUGGAACCAGAGUCAGCCUCCAUUCUGUUAUUCUUUGCUACAUGGAUAAAUGUAUCCACCUCAGAGAGACAGGAAGAACUGUUUGGCUGCUGGAAGCACAAGAUAGAAACUUCAGAUAUGCAUCACCGAUGUUCAGGUCUGCCACAGGCUUCCUCAUGAGCUUUGGAUUAUUUGCUUUUUUCCUAUUCAAUCAAGUUCUCCUACCAUUACAUAUACUGUCCUAUGAUUCUCCUCACCCUCCAGCGGGACUACCCAUGGACCAGUGUAUGAACAAUAAAAUUGGGAACAGUACAAAGAAAUGAUGCAGUGUAGGAAGAAAGACAAUCAUCUUCAACACCUAAACGAGCAUCAAACAUAGACUCACUGGUCAGUGCAGAAAGGAUGUCCUUGGAGCUAACUUUUGCCUAACACUCAUUGUUUGAAUCUCUUUCUUACCAUCAGCUCGGUGUAUGGUGCAAGAGAGAGAAGUAUGGCUGCUUGGUGUGCAGUGGCUUGUGUCCGUGGUGCCCAGGCUGCAGCCCCCGGAGUGGGGUGGACGCUGCUUGGCCAAGGUCUCCACUGAUGCCCCUGUGCAGUCCCUGUGACUCUGAGACAUGGAAAUCAUUAUUGUGUAUUUGUGUGUUAUUUUUAUCUGAAGUGCUUUAUGUACCGAGGUGGUGUAUCACAGAUUUUUUGGGUGAUGCCUGCUCGGUCAAGGGCAUAUGAGCUACCCUGGGACAAGGUGGGAGGAGGCCAGCCUUGCUAGGACAGUGCUGGCGGC